rnacentral:rRNA from 1 species
GAUGAACGCUGGCGGCGUGCCUAAUACAUGCAAGUCGAGCGAAUGGAUUGAGAGCUUGCUCUUAUGAAGUUAGCGGCGGACGGGUGAGUAACACGUGGGUAACCUGCCCAUAAGACUGAGAUAACUCCGGGAAACCGGGGCUAAUACCGGAUAACAUUUUGAACCGCAUGGUUCGAAAUUGAAAGGCGGCUUCGGCUGUCACUUAUGGAUGGACCCGCGUCGCAUUAGCUAGUUGGUGAGGUAACGGCUCACCAAGGCAACGAUGCGUAGCCGACCUGAGAGGGUGAUCGGCCACACUGGGACUGAGACACGGCCCAGACUCCUACGGGAGGCAGCAGUAGGGAAUCUUCCGCAAUGGACGAAGGUCUGACGGAGCAACGCCGCGUGAGUGAUGAAGGCUUUCGGGUCGUAAAACUCUGUUGUUAGGGAAGAACAAGUGCUAGUUGAAUAAGCUGGCACCUUGACGGUACCUAACCAGAAAGCCACGGCUAACUACGUGCCAGCCGCCGCCGUAA